ensembl:lncRNA
GUGGCUAGUUGCGACGAAGUGUUGCCUCCUGAUAUUACCGUGAAGGAACAGAACUAACAGCCACUCUUCCCAGUUUUUCGCGUUGUUUUGAAACGUCUGCGAGCGAAGCUUAAUAACGCCGACCAGCAUCACAUUUCAGAAUCGGAAUAUAAUUAUAUUUUCAGUGAGACCUUCUUCCUCAAGACGUCCUCUUCCUGCUUGCUACGUGUUACUUCCUUCAAGAAGCCAUUCUCCACCAACCGAGUGAUCUCGUGCACAGCAGUUUUAAGUACCGUUUCCAUAACUCCACUGAGCUGGUACUGGAAGCUGACGAUAGCUUCUGACAUAGCUGCAACAACAUUAACUCAGUACUGGACAAUAACCCACCGCUACGUUUCCUUUACUGUUACGAG